rnacentral:rRNA from 1 species
GACGAACGCUGGCGGCGUGCUUAACACAUGCAAGUCGAACGGAAAGGCCCUGCUUGCAGGGUACUCGAGUGGCGAACGGGUGGGUAACACGUGGGUGAUCUGCCCUGCACUUCGGGAUAAGCCUGGGAAACUGGGUCUAAUACCGGAUAGGAGCCAUUUUUAGUGUGAUGGUUGGAAAGUUUUUUCGGUGUAGGAUGAGCUCGCGGCCUAUCAGCUUGUUGGUGGGGUAAUGGCCUACCAAGGCGGCGACGGGUAGCCGGCCUGAGAGGGUGGACGGCCACAUUGGGACUGAGAUACGGCCCAGACUCCUACGGGAGGCAGCAGUGGGGAAUAUUGCACAAUGGGCGCAAGCCUGAUGCAGCGACGCCGCGUGGGGGAUGACGGCCUUCGGGUUGUAAACUCCUUUCGCUAGGGACGAAGCUUUUUGUGACGGUACCUAGAUAAGAAGCACCGGCUAACUACGUG